rnacentral:rRNA from 11 species
AAUUACGUCAAACUAAUCUCUAAAGGCAUCAGACCCUGUCUGAUCUUGGAGGCUAAACAGGGUAAUCUCUGGUUAGUACUUGGAUGGGAGACUGCUAAUGAAUACUAGGUGCUCUAGGUU